AACUAGGGUUUUAAUUUUAGUUGGAUUAAAAAAAUAUAUUAAAAAUGAAAAAAAAAAUUGCUGUUCCUUUCAAAAGGUGCCACCUCAACACUCCUUGCCUUUGUCGUUGAGGCGGCCACCUCUUGGAAGCCAAGCGAGGUGUUACUAGGUAAGGCGCUAGAGGGUCGCCUCACCCUGCCUCGCCCGGCUCCUUUGGUGCCUUUAACAACACCGAAUUAAAAUAUAUCAAAUUUAAUUUUA
rnacentral:misc_RNA from 1 species